rnacentral:rRNA from 4 species
GGUAACUUAGUCUUUUAAUCGCUAUUAACGGAUCAUUUAUUUAUUCAUCUUUAGUCUAUUCUAAGAAGAGUUUAUUUUAUCUCCCCGUCACCCCAACAAAAUAAUUUUAAACUCACACUAAAAUCCUCCUAUACUAAUCCAAUUCCUUCAUUAUCAAGCUCUAUAGGGUCUUCUCGUCCUCUAAUUUCAUUUUAGCCUUUUCACUAAAAAGUUAAAUUUUAAGUUACUCCCCAUGAGACAGUCAACACCUCGUCCAACCAUUCAUACCAGCCUCUAAUUAAAAGACUAAUGAUUAUGCUACCUUUGCACGGUCAAAAUACCGCGGCCCUUUAAACUUCAGUGGGCAGGUUAGACCUUCUAUUUACACAAAAGGCG